AUCGGUAUUGCUGAUGAGCGGCUUCAAUGAAAUCGCUGCUCGCAAUCGCCGCGUCGCUUUCAAACUUUUGACCACGGAUGUACUGGCACUGGCGAGCAGGCGAUGAUGAGGAAGGUCGGUGCGAUUUCGCCCGGCCUUUUUUGUU
rnacentral:sRNA from 1 species